CCCGCCGCGCCCCGCGCCCGUCCCGCCGCCCCCGCCCGUGGCGGACGGGUGAGUAACGCGUGGGAAACCUGCCCUUGACAGGGGGACAGCCGAGGGAAACUUCGAUUAAUACCCCAUAACGCAGAGAGACCGCAUGGUCCAUCUGCCAAAGAUUUAUCGGUCAGGGAUGGUCCCGCGUCUGAUUAGCUGGUUGGUGAGGCAGCGGCUCACCAAGGCGACGAUCAGUAGCCGGCCUGAGAGGGUGAACGGCCACAUUGGAACUGAGACACGGUCCAGACUCCUACGGGAGGCAGCAGUGGGGAAUAUUGCACAAUGGGCGCAAGCCUGAUGCAGCAACGCCGCGUGAAGGAGGAAGGCCUUCGGGUCGUAAACUUCUGUCCAAAGGGAAGAAGAAUGACGGUACCUUUGGAGGAAGCCCCGGCUAACUACGUGCCAGCAGCCGCGGUAAUACGA
rnacentral:rRNA from 2 species